AUUGAACGCUGGCGGCAUGCUUUACACAUGCAAGUCGAACGGUAACAGGCCGCAAGGUGCUGACGAGUGGCGAACGGGUGAGUAAUGCAUCGGAACGUGCCCAGUCGUGGGGGAUAACGCAGCGAAAGCUGCGCUAAUACCGCAUACGAUCUAUGGAUGAAAGCGGGGGACCGAAAGGCCUCGCGCGAUUGGAGCGGCCGAUGUCAGAGUAGGUAGUUGGUGGGGCAAAGGCCCACCAAGCCAACGAUCUGCAGCUGGUCUGAGAGGACGACCAGCCACACUGGGACUGAGACACGGCCCAGACUCCUACGGGAGGCAGCAGUGGGGAAUUUUGGACAAUGGGCGCAAGCCUGAUCCAGCAAUGCCGCGUGCAGGAAGAAGGCCUUCGGGUUGUAAACUGCUUUUGUACGGAACGAAACGGUCCGGGUUAAUACCCUGGGCUAAUGACGGUACCGUAAGAAUAAGCACCGGCUAACUACGUGCCAGCAGCCGCCGUAAAAC
rnacentral:rRNA from 1 species